rnacentral:rRNA from 1 species
GACGAACGCUGGCGGCGUGCCUAAUACAUGCAAGUCGGGCGCAGUUGCGAGCGGGUGAGUAACGCGUAGGUCACUGCCUGGUAGUGGGGGCUAAAUAUUGGAAACGAUAGCUAAUACCGCCUCCUAGUAGAUGGACCUGCGUUGUAUUAGCUAGUAGGUUGGGUGAUGGCCUACCUAGGCAAAUAUCCAGAGCCGACCUGGGGGGGUGGUCGGGCACACUGGGACUGGGAAACGGGCCAGACUCCUACGGGAGGCAGCAGUAGGGAAUCUUCGGCAAUGGGGGGAACCCUGACCGAGCAAAGCCGCGUGAGUGAAGAAGGUUUUCGGAUCGUAAAGCUCUGUUGUUAAGGAAGCGGUACUUAACCAGAAAGGGACGGCUAACUACGUGCCAGCAGCCGCGGUAAUAC